AUUGCUUUUCUCUGUUUUAGUCACUUUUGCUUUAAUAUGAUCCAUAUGUGAUAUCUAAAACGUAGAAGCUAGGCAAGAUUUCUGGUUGUUUUUUUAUCUUUACUAUUCUUGUUGUUUAUUGGUCUUGUAUAUAUAGUGGCACCUUUUCAUUUUUGUGGUAUUUUGUUCUGCAGAAAUUUGCAUUCUCUCUAGUUUGAUUUGCUAUCUAGUUUGUGUUGUUCUUUCUGCUCUAUUUUAAUUAUAGGUGUUGGGUUAGUACAUCUUCUUUUUUCUUUCAUUUUUGUGUGUCCAUACCUUGAGUGAAGUCUCUGUCAAAAGAAAUAAACUUUUUAUUUUUAAAAGAUAAGCCACAAACCACUACAAAAAACUUAACUUUUAGUCACAGCCAUUUUGUGACAACAAAAAUAAUAUGUGACUUAAUAUAUUUUUUAGUCAUAAUUUGUAGCAAAAAAUAUUUUAGUGACAACAAAUUUCUAGGAAAAUGCAGCAAGUAAGAUUCUAGCAAAUUCCAACAAACCUUUGGGGCAUACAAACAUGUGCAAAUAAGAUUCUAUCCAAACAAAACAUGCCAUUAGAAACAGCUAUCAAGAAAAGAAAAUAAAACAAGAUUCACAACUUACUUUAGUGAGAAGCAAAUGAUUCAGAGGCCUCCAUCUGAUCACUUAAUUUACUCUAUUACAGGCUUGUAUCAUUCAGUAUAAUGAGUUAGAUACUCAGUAGGGGUGAAGGAUCAAUCAAAAUUUUGGGUUAGGAUUGGUAGAAAGUGUAAAUGCAGCAUUGAUGGAAGUAUUUUCAAUGUUCUUAGUUUUAGUCAUUGGGCUUAUAUUUAUAAGUAAAAUUGUACAAAAGUAAACAAGAGGCUGUUUCAGUCUGGUUUUCAUGGUAGCUGGUUUGAGUUUGUUUCGGUUAAGCAAGAAUUGGCAAAAGUUAUACACUAAAGCAAAGAGAGGUUGAAUUUGGUUUGAUAGGUAAAACUGAAUAUAAUUCUAACUGUUCAACAAAAGAAUAAACAAAUCCACCUGGGGUGUUCUUUUUCUUCUCCCACUACCAAUAACUUGCCUUGGCUAUCAGAUUUUGGCUCGUUUUACUUAAUUUUUUACCAAAAGACAAUGGUUAGCAUUAUGAAAUUGAUGUGAGAAAAUAAAGGAGAAAAUAGUCAUACUUGUGUAUUUGUUGUUUUUGAGUGAGUGACUUUGAGAUAUUUCCAUCUCCAUGAUAGUGGAGAGAUCGAUAGAAGUAUUGUUGGCAAUGGCAAUUUAUUGUGUGAUUUGGUGUGAUGUGAAUUGAUUUGAUUGGUUUAUUUGUAAAAAAGAAAUAAAAGUAUUGUGAAAUACAAUGAAUUCUUCAUAUCUUUUAGUGUUAAAUUUUCUCACUUCCAAAUAGAUAAAACAAUGGCAAAAAAAUAGUGAUUCAAUUCUUACUGUAUUUUAUAUGUUGUAAUGAGCAAUUGAAACACAGAUAAAAAAAGUAUCAAAGAUGGAUAAAAGACCAAAAAAGUUUCUAAAGAAACAGCAAAUAAUUUGAAGAUAAGGGUCAAAAAGAAAAAGAAGAAUGUAAGCUACUAAAGCUGAAAAAAAAGAGUUAAAAAAUGAGAGGACAAUAGGAAUGAAUCUUUUUUCUUGGGUUGGCUUGUUAAUGAAGAAUACUUUUGUGUCCUUUAGAAGUAGCAGCCUAAUGAACAAGCAAAGAACCUUCCAAAACCUUCUCUCAAAAGCUCUGGUUUAUAAUAAGAUAUCACUUCAAUUCAUUCAUGCACACACAAUCACAACUCAUCUUCUUUCUUUCUGCAUUGUGCAGUAACUUUUCCCAAACCUCUUUUCCUCCACUUAAAAUGGUUGAUAAUAAGCUAUUCAAAUAUGUUUCCUUAGUACUUUUGGUGCUUAAUUUUUGUAUGUAUGUCAUUGUGUUGAGCAUUGGUGGUAAUGCUCUCAACAGAGCCAUUGACCAUGGAUUUGUCAUUGGGAUCAUGACAAGGCGACCUUUGGUCUUGCAGCUUGACAAGACAAACAAGGGAGCUCAGAAAUACGCCGAGUUUCUUCACCUUUGCAAGAGGAGAUUCACAGAUUUUGGAAUUGAUGUUCAGUUUUUAAGUUACAUAAUUAUUUUUGCCAAAACUUGAGAAGAGAGCUGGCAAUUAGGAGUCAGAAAAUCUGAGGUCAAAUUUUUGUUAUGGCUGGGUUGAAGAGUUGGUGUUUUUUGCCGGUUUAAAGGAGCAGUAUGAAAUCUUAAUUCAUCAUUUCAUACAGGCUGAUAUGACCAUGUUAGAAAACGAACUACCAACAAAAAGAUGACUUUCAUCAGCCCUUGUCAAGGUAUAUUGAGAUGAUUUCUUUGGAGCAAUUCUUGACAACAUUUGUAGUUGAAGCUUUAGAAUGGAAGAAUGUAGUUCACUAAUUUUUGUAUACAUUUCUUGUUUUGUAUUUAGUGAUAAAGGAAUCUGAAUUAGGCAUAAAUUAUGUUGUAAUAUGAUUUUUUAAGCCUAGAUUAGUAGACUAAAUAUUGUAAUUACAUUUGAGUAAUUAAUAAAAAUCUAUUUAUGUUAUUUUA